AGGGACAAAUGGACAUAAAAUGGAUGCUUGCAUACAUUUUUAUGUCUAUGGGGACCGCUAAAUCAUGAAAAAGCAGCCAUUUUUCAAAGAAAAAUGCGCGGAUUUUGAAUGAUUUCAUAGAUUUCGGGAGUGCCAGCGGCACGUAGAAAUCUAU
rnacentral:sRNA from 1 species